GGGCCAUUAGCUCAUCUGGUAGAGUGCUCCCAUGGCAUGGGAGAGGUGGCCGGUUCGAGUCCGGCAUGGUCCACGA
rnacentral:tRNA from 1 species